CCAGGGACUGCUUCAGGGGAGAUGUCAGAGGGCAGCAGGGACCGGGAAGGGAGGAAGAAAGCAGAGUGACAGUGAGAGGUGGGAAAACUACAAGAGGAAUUGUUUGUACGCUUGGAUCUGGACUUUUAGAACUGGUCAGGACCUGACAGAUCCUCCAGCCCAGUUCUCCCGGCUCUCAAACACUGGCAUCAUUUAUAAUUCCCUGGAAAAUCACCAGCAGGUAAAUGAAGGAGAAAAGAAAAGAACAAAAUCCACCGGGAACCAGAGACUUCCAGGCUCCAAAGACAGGCAAUCUCCACCAGGAAUAUAGACAGGAUUUCCACAUGUCGCCCAGGCUGAUCUCAGACUCCUGACCUGGAUCUUCCCACCUCAGCCACUGAACGUGCUGGGAUUACAGUUGAAGGUCUGGAAUGGAAACUCCUAUUGUGAUCUUAAGGGCUGUAACCCAGAGAAUCUGGUUCUUCCUGGAGUAUUUCAGCAGGGAUCAGCUUAAAUAGGUCUACUUGAAGUUCACAACUGCCAAAACCGCGUGUUCAGACUGAAAGGCUGGGAGCAUUUCAGACGCAUUUAUGAACUUCCACCAAGAUGAUCCGGCAGGCUGAAAUCGCAGGGAGAGCGUCUGUUCAACAAACCCUUUCUUCUUGAUUGAAUUAGUGUUACCCACUAACAGGAUGAGGAAUUCCCACUCCACAAGCUGACUUUUUUUCCUCUUUCCACCUCCCGCCUCCCUCCAUUAAAAUGUAAACUUGAUUCCUGUGUCCUUUGCCGGAGCCUGGCUUCCCUGUAAGCCCAUCAUAAACAUCUUGGUAGAAAUGCAACUUUUAACCUCUCCUUGAUGGUUUUCCGUCUAACUUUAU
rnacentral:lncRNA from 1 species